GGCACCAUGACUCCUGUGAAGACCCAGCACUCCCUGGUAAAUCAGACGUAUGCCGUGCCCCUCAUCCAGCCAGACCUGCGGCGAGAGGAGGCCAUCCAGCAGAUGGUGGAUGCCCUGCAGUACCUGCAGAAGGUCUCUGGAGACAUCUUCAGCAGCCAGCAAAUACGUACCCAAUAGUGUUUGUGUGCAAGGCAUUGUAAGAAUCUCUAUAGAUCCAGCCAUGGAUAAGGCAGCAUCUCUGUCCAACUGCAGUGCACAUGCUGGCAGGAGAGAAAGACCUGAUAACCAAUGCAUGAUUAGUUCUUUAAUAACAGUUGUGACAAGGCCUGUUGAUAAUAUUUGGUAAUCACUGUUAUUUAUAUAGCAUUAACCAUGCACCACC